CACGAACGCUGGCGGCAGGCUUAACACAUGCAAGUCGAGCGCCCCGCAAGGGGAGCGGCAGACGGGUGAGUAACGCGUGGGAAUCUACCCAUCUCUACGGAAUAACGCAUGGAAACGUGUGCUAAUACCGUAUACGUCCUUCGGGAGAAAGAUUUAUCGGAGAUGGAUGAGCCCGCGUUGGAUUAGCUAGUUGGUGGGGUAAAGGCCUACCAAGGCGACGAUCCAUAGCUGGUCUGAGAGGAUGAUCAGCCACACUGGGACUGAGACACGGCCCAGACUCCUACGGGAGGCAGCGGUGGGGAAUAUUGGACAAUGGGCGCAAGACUGAUCCAGCCAUGCCGCGUGAGUGAUGAAGGCCCUAGGGUUGUAAAGCGCUUUCACCGGUGAAGAUAAUGACGGUAACCUGAGAAGAAGCCCCGGCUAACUUCGUGCCAGCCGCCGCCGUAACAC
rnacentral:rRNA from 1 species